rnacentral:rRNA from 1 species
AUUGAACGCUGGCGGAAUGCUUUACACAUGCAAGUCGAACGGCAGCACGGGGCAACCUGGUGGCGAGUGGCGAACGGGUGAGUAAUACAUCGGAACGUGCCCAGUCGUGGGGGAUAACGUAGCGAAAGUUACGCUAAUACCGCAUACGAUCUAAGGAUGAAAGCGGGGGAUCGCAAGACCUCGCGCGAUUGGAGCGGCCGAUGUCAGAUUAGGUAGUUGGUGGGGUAAAGGCCCACCAAGCCGACGAUCUGUAGCUGGUCUGAGAGGACGACCAGCCACACUGGGGCUGAGACACGGCCCAGACUCCCACGGGAGGCAGCAGUGGGGAAUUUUGGACAAUGGGCGCAAGCCUGAUCCAGCCAUUCCGCGUGCAGGAUGAAGGCCUUCGGGUUGUAAACUGCUUUUGUACGGAGCGAAAAGGCUCUCUCUAAUACAGGGGGCUCAUGACGGUACCGUAAGAAUAAGCACCGGCUAACUACGUGCCAGCCGCCGCGGUAA